rnacentral:rRNA from 1 species
CCAAUAGCGUAUAUUAAAGUUGUUGCAGUUAAAAAGCUCGUAGUUGAACUUCGGGGUUCACCCAUUGGUCAGGCUUAAUUGUCUGUACUGGUGAGAUGAGUCUCUACCUUCUGAGGAACUUUCAUGCCAUUUAUUUGGUGUGAUUGGAAAUCAGGACUGUUACUUUGAAAAAAUUAGAGUGUUUAAAGCAGGCUAACGUCUGAAUACAUUAGCAUGGAAUAAUGAAAUAGGACGGAUUGAUUCUAUUUCGUUGGUUUCUAGGAUCACCGUAGUGAUUAAUAGGGAUAGUUGGGGGCAUUAGUAUUCAAUUGUCAGAGGUGAAAUUCUUGGAUUUAUUGAAGACUAACUACUGCGAAAGCAUUUGCCAAGGAUGUUUUCAUUAAUCAAGAACGAAAGUUAGGGGAUCGAAGACGAUCAGAUACCGUCGUAGUCUUAACCAUAAACUAUGCCGACUAGGGAUCGGACGCAGUUAAUUUUAUAAUGACGUGUUCGGCACCUUACG